AGUGAGGGGCAUAUUUACUCCACAAUAGACGAGGAUCAUUACAAGGCGACCGACAGUUGAGGCCCAAUGUUAUACAAUGUAACAGACUGAAGACAUUUACUUUGAGGAUUAUAAAAACCUAGGUUUAGUCCUAUUUCUCAAGAACUAUGUGCGAUAUAACCUCAAAUCACGAAAAGUUUAUUCUGACAGGAAUAGCAUUUUGAACACAUACUAGUACCGGUACAUGUGCUAAGAAAAGUAAUACAUGUCUUGUUUAGUGUGUGCAUGUAUUUAAUAUUAUUUUUGUUUUUUUAUAACUCUGGUAGUGGAAGUUCUUGUUGAGAGAUAAAACCAUUGUUUUCAUUUAGAAAAAAAAGAAAAUAAAACUAAAUUUUGAC
rnacentral:misc_RNA from 1 species